UACAGAGGGUGCGAGCGUUAAUCGGAAUUACUGGGCGUAAAGCGCACGUAGGUGGCGACGUAAGUCGGGUGUGAAAGCCCCGGGCUCAACCUGGGAAUUGCAUUCGAGACUGCAUUGCUGGAGUACGGUAGAGGAGGGCGGAAUUCCCGGUGUAGCGGUGAAAUGCGUAGAUAUCGGGAGGAACAUCAGUGGCGAAGGCGGCCCUCUGGUCCAGUACUGACACUCAAGUGCGAAGGCGUGGGGAGCAAACAGC
rnacentral:rRNA from 1 species